rnacentral:rRNA from 1 species
GACGAACGCUGGCGGCGUGCCUAACACAUGCAAGUCAACUUGACUGAAGGAGCAAUCUGACAGUAGAGUGGCGCAAGGGUGCGUAACGCGUAAGUAACUUGCCCAAGGUAAGGAUAACGUCGAGAAAUCGGCGCUAAUACCUCAUAAUGCAGCGGAUCCGCAUGGAUAUGUUGUUAAAGGUUUACCGCCUUGGGAUAGGCUUGCGUCUGAUUAGCUAGUUGGUGUGGUAACGGCACACCAAGGCUACGAUCAGUAACUGGUCUGAGAGGAUGAUCAGUCACACUGGAACUGAGACACGGUCCAGACUCCUACGGGA